rnacentral:rRNA from 1 species
CGGUAAUACGAAGGGUGCAAGCGUUACUCGGAAUUACUGGGCGUAAAGCGUGCGUAGGCGGUUUGUUAAGUCUGAUGUGAAAGCCCUGGGCUCAACCUGGGAAUGGCAUUGGAUACUGGCAAUCUAGAAUGUGGUAGAGGGUGGCGGAAUUCCCGGUGUAGCAGUGAAAUGCGUAGAUAUCGGGAGGAACAUCCGUGGCGAAGGCGGCCACCUGGACCAACAUUGACGCUGAGGCACGAAAGCGUGGGGAGCAAACAGGAUUAGAUACCCUGGUAGUCCACGCCCUAAACGAUGCGAACUGGAUGUUGGGCUCAAUUGAGAGCUCAGUAUCGAAGCUAACGCGUUAAGUUCGCCGCCUGGGAAGCACGGUCGCAAGACUGAA